CCUACGGGAGGCAGCAGUGGGGAAUAUUGCACAAUGGGCGCAAGCCUGAUGCAGCCAUGCCGCGUGUAUGAAGAAGGCCUUCGGGUUGUAAAGUACUUUCAGCGGGGAGGAAGGCGAUAAGGUUAAUAACCUUGUCGAUUGACGUUACCCGCAGAAGAAGCACCGGCUAACUCCGUGCCAGCAGCCGCGGUAAUACGGAGGGUGCAAGCGUUAAUCGGAAUUACUGGGCGUAAAGCGCACGCAGGCGGUCUGUCAAGUCGGAUGUGAAAUCCCCGGGCUCAACCUGGGAACUGCAUUCGAAACUGGCAGGCUAGAGUCUUGUAGAGGGGGGUAGAAUUCCAGGUGUAGCGGUGAAAUGCGUAGAGAUCUGGAGGAAUACCGGUGGCGAAGGCGGCCCCCUGGACAAAGACUGACGCUCAGGUGCGAAAGCGUGGGGAGCAAACAGGAUUAGAUACCCCUGUAGUC
rnacentral:rRNA from 1 species